GAGGUCCCAGUUGCCUUCAUCGGUGUAGAAUUUCAGCGCGAAACCGCGGACGUCGCGCUCGUGGUCGGCGGCGCCCUGUUCGCCGGC
rnacentral:sRNA from 1 species